rnacentral:lncRNA from 1 species
AUACUGGGAUGAGGAUGCUUGUAAUGUGGUGCACACUGAUUACCAGAGCACAGCUGAGAUACUGUUGGGUCCUGUCUCCUCCCAAAGCACACAUCACAUCCCAGGGUGCACACCAGUAAAUGAUCAGAUUCUGGACAUGGGGAGCCAAGGACAGGGGAAGGCAGAGAGAGGAGCAGAAUUGCAACCACUGUCGUCAUGAAGGAAGCUAGAGAUCACGGAGGAGAAAACUGAGAUCCAAAGAAGUUAAAUUACUUGUCCAAAGCCACUUGAUGUGGGAGUGGAAUGACCGAGAGGAUGUGGAUUCUGGAACCAGAGCCAGUUCCACAUGAUGGUUCCAGCACACCCCUCACACUGCCCUCUGGUGAUCUACUGUCUCCUCAUCUCUUCCUCCUCUGCAGAAUGGAGGAAUAGCAGCACCUACCUCCCAAGGUUUUGGAAGAAUAAAUGAGUACCUGACACAA